GUGUUCGCAUUGGGAGCACAUAUUCUAAAAUUAGAAUAAUAAGAAAAGUCUAACACGGCCCUUGCGCAAGGAAGACACGCAAGUUGGUGAAGCGUUCCAUAUGUUU
ensembl:snRNA U6 U6 spliceosomal RNA